rnacentral:rRNA from 1 species
AGUGAACGCUGGCGGCGUGCCUACUACAUGCCAGUCGAACGAAGUGGCGCAAGGGUGAGUAAUAUAUCGUUAAUCUUCCCUACACAGAGGAACAACAGUUUUAAACGGCUGGUAAUAACUCAAAGUGUAGGAUGAGACUAUAUCGUAUGAGAUAGUUGGUAAGGUUAUGGCGUACCAAGGCGAUGACGCUUAACUUGUCUGAGAGGAUGAGCAGUCACUUCGGAAGUGAGACACUGUCGAAACUCCUACGCAAGGGAGCGAUCAGGAAUAGUGCUCAGGCGGGUAAGCUCUGAAGCAUCAUGGCGCCGUGAAGGAUGGCACUUUUCGAAGAUAAAAGUACUUUUAGCAGGAAAGCGGUACCUAAUGAAUAAGCACCGGCUAACUCCGUGCCAGCAGCCGCGGUAAUAC